rnacentral:rRNA from 1 species
UACGUAGGGUGCAAGCGUUGUCCGGAAUUAUUGGGCGUAAAGAGCUCGUAGGCGGUCUGUCGCGUCGAAUGUGAAAACCCGGGGCUCAACCCCGGGCCUGCAUUCGAUACGGGCAGACUAGAGUUCGGUAGGGGAGUCUGGAAUUCCUGGUGUAGCGGUGAAAUGCGCAGAUAUCAGGAGGAACACCGGUGGCGAAGGCGGGACUCUGGGCCGAUACUGACGCUGAGGAGCGAAAGCGUGGGGAGCGAUCCGG